rnacentral:lncRNA from 1 species
CAAAAAAAUGAGCGAUAAGACUGAGGGCGGGAGGUCAUUAUGAGCUGGUCGCCCGGGAGGGCGAGUUUGGACCGUGCAGUACCUUGCUAGCUGAACAGGACAGGGUUAAUGUCUAGAAUAUACAAAGACUCAAAAAAUGAAUACCUAGAAGUCAAGUGAUGGGCUACGGAUAUGAGAAUACAGUUCUCAAGAGUGUUCAAACGGCCAGUUCCACCCGAAUAUGAACCGACAGCUAGAAUGCCAAGGUAGCUGCACGGGACCUUCCUGCUAGACUGAAGCGCUAGCAAUGGAGAAGCUGGGCGGAGCCUCCAGUGCAGUAGCGGCGACGGCGCGGUUACAUGACGUCAUCCUGAGGCGCUGGCCAGUAGCGUCAUCAGUUUGAGCCGCUUUCCUUGCCUUGGUCCCUGAGAACCGUCUUCCGACCCUUCCUCCUUCGGUGCUGACUGCUCCCGCGGCUCUUUACGCUGAGAUGUUUCACUGACUUCUGCCUGAGAUCUGGAAAAGGAACACUGCCCAAUAGAUGAACAUGUGUGAAAAAUAACUUCCAAGGAACAUCAUGUGCGCAGGGACUGUGCUAAACAGAAAACUGUCAGUCACUGCGGGAAUGUGCCUCCCUGAUCGCCGCGAUCGCCCGCUGCCGCAGCUGUUUCUCCUUCACACGCAUAGGCUCCCUGUCUUGCAUGGGAGGGAGCAGACCCAGGGGACACCAGACCAACUUGAGUUCACAUGGGUUGACUAUCCACACCUCUCUCCUCUGUCUUUGGUAUCCCGUGAAGUGUGCUGUGUCUCCUCUACCCUGUGAUUCCUGUUCAUCUCAGGAAGCAGCUGAAAGGGUCAGGAAGGUCCUGGGACAUUAAACUACUGUUUGGAUG